CGAGUGCCAUCUGAUGAAGGUGGCUUUUCUUAGGUCUAAAAAGCCUUGGGAAUAAGAGGGGGGCAAGACUGGUGUCAGCCGCCGCGGUAACACCAGCCCCUCGAGUGGUGGGGAUGAUUAUUGGGCCUAAAGCGUCCGUAGCCUGCCGUAUAAGUUUCCCGUUAAAUCCAGCGUCUCAAGCGUUGGACCGCGGGAAAUACUGUACGGCUAGAGAGUGGGAGAGGUCAGCGGUAUUCUGGGGGUAGGGGCGAAAUCCUUUGAUCCCCGGAGGACCACCAGUGGCGAAGGCUGCUGUCUAGAACACGUCUGACGGUCAGGGACGAAAGCUGGGGUAGCGAACCGGAUUAGAUACCCGGGUAGUCCCAGCCGUAAACGAUGCAUGCUAGGUGUUGGGUUGGCCACGAGCCACCCCAGUGCCGCAGGGAAGCCGUUAAGCAUGCCGCCUGGAAGUACGAUCGCAAGG
rnacentral:rRNA from 1 species